rfam:Neolentinus lepideus HHB14362 ss-1 unplaced genomic scaffold NEOLEscaffold_74, whole genome shotgun sequence.
AGCACAAUAGCUCAGUGGUAAGAGCACCACAGCGCGAUUUUUACGGGAGGUCGCUGGUUCAAUUCCAGCUUGUGCCA